rnacentral:rRNA from 1 species
GACGAACGCUGGCGGCGCGCUUAACACAUGCAAGUCGAACGGAAAGGCCUGCUUUCCCUUGUGGAUUGCGGGUACUCGAGUGGCGAACGGGUGAGUAACACGUGAGUGAUCUGCCCCCAACUUGGGUAUAAGCCUGGGAAACUGGGUCUAAUUCCCGAUAGGACUGCAGGGUGGUGCCUGUGGUGGAAAACGAUUUUCUAGUGGUUGGGGAUGAGCUCGCGGCCUAUCAGCUUGUUGGUGGGGUAAUGGCCUACCAAGGCGGCGACGGGUAGCCGGCCUGAGAGGGUGGACGGCCACAUUGGGACUGAGAUACGGCCCAGACUCCUACGGGAGGCAGCAGUGGGGAAUAUUGCACAAUGGGCGGAAGCCUGAUGCAGCGACGCCGCGGGGGGGAUGACGGCCUUCGGGUUGUAAACUCCUUUCGACCGCGAGGAAGCCACCUGGUUGGAAGGGUGGUGACGGUAGUGGUAAAAGAAGCACCGGCUAACUACGUG